AGGAGCAGCUGUUCAAGGCCUGGAUGGUGCAGAACCAGCGGCGGUACGGCCCGCACGAGUACCCGCGCCGGCUGCGCAUCUUCCUGGACAACAAGCGGCGCAUCGAGGAGCACAACGCGGGCAACCACAGCUUCCAGAUGGGCCUGAACCAGUUCUCGGAUCUGACGUUCGCGGAGUUUAAAAAGCUGUACCUGUGGAGCGAGCCCCAGAACUGCUCAGCCACCAAGGGGAGCUUCCUGCGCAGCUCUGGGCCCUAUCCCGACUCCAUCGACUGGAGAAAGAAGGGAAAUUUCGUGACACCCGUGAAGAACCAGGGUCCCUGUGGGAGCUGCUGGACCUUUUCCACCACGGGCUGUUUGGAGUCUGCUAUUGCCAUUGCCACGGGAAAGCUGCUCUCUCUGGCUGAGCAGCAGUUGGUUGAUUGUGCCCAGGCCUUCAACAACCAUGGCUGCAGUGGGGGCCUGCCCAGCCAAGCCUUCGAGUACAUCCUGUACAACAAGGGGCUCAUGGGGGAGGACACGUACCCCUACAGGGCCAAGAAUGGCACCUGCAAGUUCCAGCCAGACAAGGCCAUUGCCUUUGUCAAGGACGUUAUCAAUAUCACACAGUACGAUGAGGAUUCCAUGGUGGAAGCCGUAGGGAAGCACAACCCAGUGAGUUUUGCCUUUGAGGUGACAAGUGACUUCAUGCACUACAGGAAAGGAGUGUAUUCCAACCCCCGCUGUGAGCACACCCCUGACAAGGUGAACCACGCCGUGCUGGCCGUGGGCUAUGGGGAGGAGGACGGGACUCCUCACUGGAUCGUCAAGAACUCCUGGGGCCGGCUGUGGGGCAUGCAGGGGUAUUUCCUCAUUGAACGAGGCAAGAACAUGUGUGGUCUGGCUGCUUGUGCCUCCUACCCUGUUCCUCAGGUGUAGGAGCACGGCCAGGCUGGGGCCAGGGCUGGAGUCACUGAAGGAGUUCCAGUGGCUGAGUGUGGAUGGAGGACAGGCAGAGCAGGGUGCCACACCCCCUGAGAGGUGUUACCUGCAGAAAGGUGUUACCUGCAGGCACAUUCCUUGGCUUGCACACACCUCCUGCAGCAGCACGACCUGACCUGCUCUCUCCAGCCAAACCCUCAUGUACUCCUGUGCCCUGCCAGGUUCCCUCCUCCUGCUGUGCCCCCAUCCACCUGUCCCGACCCGGGGGGUGGCAGCAGGGAAACCACACACGUACCGAGUUAGGGAACACAGAGCUCCCCCCUGUCCUUUGGGUGGCUUUUUUGCAAUCACCAUGUGUAAAUUUUAGCGGUUUUUUUGAAGGCAAUUUCCCCGUUCUUUAAAUGAAGGAUGAGUGAGUGCUGUGAUUUUUACACUUUUGUCAAUUUUCAUGAACUGCCUGCUAUUUUUUGUAUUAAAAAUCAGGGUAUUUUAAUGCA